rnacentral:ncRNA from 1 species
GCAGAUUUGGGGCGUUAUGGUUCCCAAGGUCGCCGCAUGCGGCUUUGGGCUAAGAGGGAAUCCGGUGCGGAUUGGGGCUCACCCCCACCAAAGCCGGAGCUGCCCCCGCAACUGUGCGCGGCGAGCGCGCAAUCCACCCACGUCACUGAGGCUUAGGCUUUGGGAAGACAGGAUUGCGCGCCGUGACCCGCGAGCCAGGAGACCUGCCAUGACAGAUAACGUCCA